rnacentral:misc_RNA from 1 species
CCGAAGUACAGGCCCUUUUAUAGGGCUAAACUUCCACCCUUUGUUACUAUUCUUUGUUGCUUUGGCGGGACGUCUUCGGACCACCGGCUCUCGGGCUGGUGAGCGCUCGCCAGAGGAAAAUCAAACCCAAACCUUUUUUAGUGUUGUCUGAGAAACAAGUUUAAUUAUUA